rnacentral:lncRNA from 1 species
UAUCUAUUUUCAUUGAAAUACGCACAUCUGGCGGAAUUGCCACUUCAGUAGAAUCUGCAAGAAAGAGGGAUUUAAAAGUGGCAAGAAAUCUACUACUAGUCGUUGCAACAGAUUUUAUGUGUUGGUUUCCAAUUGGAGUUCUUGGUAUGCUUGCUUUGACCGGUCACGUGAUUUCCGGAGAGGUUUAUGCAUGGGCAGCGGUCUUCAUACUUCCUAUCAACUCUGCUCUAAACCCAAUUCUAUAUACUUUGAGCGCAAUUAUAGGAGGAAAAAAUUUCAAUCCUAGUUCUGACGAGCAGCCAUUAAAGAAGAUGACAAAAG